rnacentral:rRNA from 1 species
UACGUAGGGUGCGAGCGUUAAUCGGAAUUACUGGGCGUAAAGCGUGCGCAGGCGGUUCUGAAAGUCAGCUGUGAAAGCCCCGGGCUUAACCUGGGAAUUGCGGUUGAAACUACAGGGCUAGAAUCUGGCAGAGGGGGGUGGAAUUCCACGUGUAGCAGUGAAAUGCGUAGAGAUGUGGAGGAACACCGAUGGCGAAGGCAGGUCUCUGGGCUGACACUGACGCUCAUGCACGAAAGCGUGGGGAGCAAACAGG